CGCGGGAUUAGAGUUUGAUCAUGGCUCAGAUUGAACGCUGGCGGCAGGCCUAACACAUGCAAGUCGAGCGGAAACGAGAAUAGCUUGCUAUUCGGCGUCGAGCGGCGGACGGGUGAGUAAUGCCUGGGAAAUUGCCCUGAUGUGGGGGAUAACCAUUGGAAACGAUGGCUAAUACCGCAUAAUAGCUUCGGCUUAAAGAGGGGGACCUUCGGGCCUCUCGCUUCAGGAUAUGCCCAGGUGGGAUUAGCUAGUUGGUGAGGUAAAGGCUCACCAAGGCGACGAUCCCUAGCUGGUCUGAGAGGAUGAUCAGCCACACUGGAACUGAGACACGGUCCAGACUCCUACGGGAGGCAGCAGUGGGGAAUAUUGCACAAUGGGCGCAAGCCUGAUGCAGCCAUGCCGCGUGUAUGAAGAAGGCCUUCGGGUUGUAAAGUACUUUCAGCAGUGAGGAAGGGUGUGUAGUUAAUAGCUGCAUACUUUGACGUUAGCUGCAGAAGAAGCACCGGCUAACUCCGUGCCAGCAGCCGCAGUAAUACGGAGGGUGCGAGCGUUAAUCGGAAUUACUGGGCGUAAAGCGCAUGCAGGUGGUUUGUUAAGUCAGAUGUGAAAGCCCGGGGCUCAACCUCGGAACCGCAUUUGAAACUGGCAGGCUAGAGUACUGUAGAGGGGGGUAGAAUUUCA
rnacentral:rRNA from 1 species